rnacentral:tRNA from 1 species
GGUCCUAUAGUUCAAUGGAUAGAAUAGGAGUUUCCUAAACUCUAGAUCUAGGUUCGAUUCCUAGUAGGACCA